AACGAACGCUGGCGGCGUGCCUAACACAUGCAAGUCGUGCGAGAAAGUUCCUUCGGGAGCGAGUAAAGCGGCGCACGGGUGAGUAACACGUAGGUAACCUGCCCCCCAGUCUGGAACAACUAGAGGAAACUCUAGCUAAUGCCGGAUGAGACCACGAUCCCUUCGGGGGUUGCGGCCAAAGAUGGCCUCUACUUGUAAGCUAUCGCUGAGGGAUGGGCCUGCGGGCCAUUAGCUUGUUGGUGAGGUAACGGCUCACCAAGGCUGUGAUGGCUAGCUGGUCUGAGAGGAUGACCAGCCACACUGGGACUGAGACACGGCCCAGACUCCUACGGGAGGCAGCAGUGGGGAAUAUUGCGCAAUGGGCGAAAGCCAGACGCAGCGACGCCGCGUGGGUGAUGAAGGCC
rnacentral:rRNA from 1 species